CACCUUUAGUCAUAUGCGGCUUGCGGCGCUUUGAGUUGAGUCAAAUCCCAGGUAUCCUAGAGUGAGAUUAUGGUCAUGCACCCAUGAUAUGAGAUUCACGCACCCACCAAAUAAAGCCGACUCUCACACUGAGAAGUUGCGCACAACAUGCACCCUUCCAUCCACCAAAAAUAUGCCAACUCUUACCCUGAGAGUUGCGCCUUAGCUUCCACCAAAUAAGUAUGCCAAACUCUCACCCUAAGGUUUGCGCAUCCCCAUACACAAUUUUACUCCUUACAUCACCAUCAUGACAUCUCUCCAUUUUCCUCUUUGAGAUCCCUUUGAAACAUGUGGGCAUCAGUUAUCCAUGAAAAAAAAUGAAGGAAAAGCCAAAGGGCAU
rnacentral:lncRNA from 1 species